rnacentral:sRNA from 1 species
UACAUGCUCACCCAUACACCUGCUCACACACACAUGCUCACCCAUAAACAUGCUCACACACACAUGCUCAUGCACGUUUACCCAUACACAUGCUCACACACACUAUUACAUGCACCUGCUCACACACACGUGCUCACAAAUUACAUACACAUGCUCACAUACGUGCUCACAAACACGAUUACAUAACCUACUCACACACAUGCUCACACAAUUACAUACACCUACUCACACACACAUGCUCACACACAAUUACAUACACCUGCUCACCCAUACACACAUGCUCACACAAUUACAUACACAUGCUCCCACAUACAUGCUCACACACACGAUUACAUACACAUGCUCACACAUGCUCACCUAUACACAUGCUCACACACGCUCACACAUACACAUGAGUACAUACAUGCUGACACACACAUGCUCACACACAUGAUUACAUACACCUGCUCACACACACACAUGCUCACCCACACACACGCUCAUACACUCACACCUGCUCACACAUACCCAUACAUGCUCACCCAUACACAUGCUCACACACACAUGCUCACCCAUACACCUGCUCACACACAUGCUCACCCAUACACAUGCUCACACACACAUGCUCAUACACGUUUACCCAUACACAUGCUCACACACACGAUUACAUACACCUGCUCCCACAUACACGAUUACAUGCACCUGCUCACACACACACACAUGCUCACAAAUUACACAUGCUCACACAUACACAUACAUGCUCACAAACACGAUUACAUACACCUACUCACACACACAUGCUCACACAAUUACAUACGCCUACUCACACACACAUGCUCACACAAUUACACCUGCUCAUACACACACACAUGCUCACACGAUUACAUACACAUGCUCCCACACAUGCUCACCUAUACACAUGCUCACACACGCUCACACAUACACGAGUACAUACACAUGCUGACACACAUGCUCACACACACGAUUACAUACACAUGCUCACACACAUUCACAUUCACAUGUUCACGCACACGCACACAUGCUCACACGCUCACCCAUACAUACGAUUACAUGCACAUGCUCACAUACAUACACGAUUACAUACACAUGCUCACACACAUGUUCACACAGGCUCAUACACAUGCUCUUACACAUACAUGCUCACACACACAUGCUCACACACAGGCACACAUGAUCACACAUACACAGGUUUGCACAAGUUUACACACAUACUCAUACACACAUGCUCACACAGGCAUACACACAUGCUCACAUAUGCACACACUCUCAUGUAUAGGCACACACAGGAUUACACAUGCUCACACAUGUGCUUAUACACAUACAUACACCCAUGCACAUGUUCACACGUUUAUACACACAUAUCACACACACACACCCCCAUAUACUCACACACACGCUGCCACAUGCUCUGUCUCUCACACAUAUCUGACAGUUCCGUGCUGUCCCGUUUCCCUCGGGGUCUUCCCUUCGGAGGCUGCAGCUCGUCUGAGCAUCCAGCCUUGAAGGCACCGAGCAGGCAAGGAGGUAGGGCUUUUCUCUGGGGAGGCCUGCGUUGCAGUACGGCUUCCUCAUCCCCACCAAGGGCAGGGAAGGGCAGGAGUCUAGGACUUACCUGAAUACAGAACACCUGGGAGCGUCUGUCUCGUGUCGGCCUUGUGCUGAGCAUGUGCAGACCAGGACUUGCGCCCUAAGCCACUUGUUGGCCCCUCCCUCAGAAUCGUGCAAUGGCUUGGCCUCACCCACAGACAAGGGAGGCAGUAAGAAAUGCCGUAAAGAGACGCUGAGCCUGAAGGACAGCACCUUACACCUGUGCAGUCCACACUUGCCUUUCCAAUUCGCCGUCACAUUUCAUCCUCACGUCCCUUGACACCAAGGCCCAGAAGCGGAGAAGGCGCACGUCGCAUAAUGCUGAGUUGGAAGGGAGUUUGCUUUUCAUCUCUUGUUACUGCCCCGUGAACAACUUUCCAAGUGACACAUUUUGUAAAAGGAGAGAACCUGCAUGGAACUGGCUGCUCUGGGGCUGUCUCCCUGCCCGAGGCUGCUUCAUGCUGAGUUACUGCCAGGACUCCUAACUGUCUUCUCUCUGCGCUUUCUCCAGGAUUACGGUGGCUACCUGAGCACCUACAUCCUCCCAGCAAAGGGAGAAAAUCAAGGCCAGACAUUCACCUGCGGCUCUGCUCUCUCUCCAAUAACAGACUUCAAACUCUAUGCCUCUGCAUUUUCCGAGAGGUACUUGGGCCUCCACGGACUUGACAACAGAGCAUACGAGAUGACCAAGGUAGCCCAUCGAGUCUCCGCGCUGGAAGAACAGCAGUUCCUGAUCAUUCAUCCCACUGCCGAUGAAAAAAUUCAUUUCCAGCACACAGCAGAACUCAUUACACAACUAAUUAGGGGCAAGGCUAAUUACAGCUUACAGGUACAGUAUGCAUGUUACUCUGUUUUGAACCUGGAGCAAGACAUUCCUUUCAUGGAGAAAGACCUGACGGGUGUUCAGGGCCUUCUACUGCAGCAGACACGCCUGUGCUGUGGUGGUCGGUGAUGAGCAGGGUCCCAGCAGGUUGGAAAAUCAGCACAUGCUCAACGUUUUCUUAUAAUUAAUGAUAGCUCCGCUCUGUACUUCAGCCAGGUUUAAAUCCCUUUAGGACAACCAUCUCCCCGUACUCCCACCCCAGCCCUGCUCCCCUCCUCUGGGCAGUGAGAAGAACCAAGCCAGCACCCACCCUGCCCAGCAGUGUGGCUGGGGCUAUCCCGCUGUGGAGAGUGGGACUGUUGUUCUGGGUUGGUGAGAGUGGUGCUGGUGGGCCCUGAGCCUUGCCCCACUGCUUCCCUCUGACCAACACCACAUGUUACUACGCACUAGCAGGAUGUCCUGGGGCCAUCUGUAGCUAGGCAGUAGUGAAAGAGGGGUACCCUUCCCAGAACUGAACUCACUUUCCCACAACCAACCCGUGGCCCAUCCACAACAGCAUCAAGUGCUGACCCAGCAGCCUCAAACCUGGGCUCUUCCCAGCAAUGCACAGGGAUGUCUCUGGAAACUUCUGCCAUUUCCUUCCUGCCUUCUGCUCCUUUGGUGGAACAGGUAUGACCCAAUGGUCUCUUCAGGUCCAACAUGAAUGGGAGAGCUCCUUGGGGACAGAUGACAGGCAGGCACCCUGCCUCCCUCAGAGAGCUCUUGCCCUGGGCUGAUCACUGCCUUGGCCUCCAGCAUCCCUGCCUGUGGGAGGGAGGGACCACCUGUGGGCUUGAUCAGGCAGGGAGAGCUCCAGCCAGAAGGGAGUUGGACCCCAGUGUGGAUGAAGAGGGGCAGAAGGACGGGGUUACACCACACUUGAGUUCCCUUGUGAAAGACGUUCAGAUUUCAGACUUUUUCAAAGUAAGUGUGGCAGUUGCAUGGCAGUGUUAAGCACACUGACCAUGGAAGCUCCAAAGGUCCAUCUGUAUGUGUUCAUGUGGGCAACUCCCCAAGAUAUGGGGCGAGCUGAACCCCCCAGGUACAGAGCAGCCUGCAUCGCUGCAGGCUCCACGGGUUUCAGGGAGCAGGACCCACCCAGGGACACACAUGUGGGCGCAGCAAAGGCCUUCACAGACACCCCAUGCAUCUGGAGCCAGGCCCAGCCCCAGGUAAGAGCACGGGAGACGGGGGCCUGAGGCAGGAGGAGAAAGCUUCCUGCCCAUACCCUCUUGUACUACUUGAUGUUUUAAUGACAUAUCAUAGCCUAAUGACAGCAUGAAUAAAUACUUCAAAAUAAAGAUGAAUUUCACCCUCCAAAAACAUACAAGGAAGGCAGGAAGAGGCAGUCUAGUGUCAUAGAAAGAUGUAGGUUUUGGGCCAGAUGCAGUGGCUCACACCUGUAGUCCCUGCACUUUGGGAGGCUGAGGUGCGGGGAUUGCCUUGAGCUCAGGAGUUUGAGACCAGCCUAGGCAACAGAGCAAGACCCCAUCUCUACAAAAAGUUUUUAGAAAAUAGCCGGACGUAGUCAUGUGUACCUGUGGUCCCAGCCACACAGGAGGCUGAAGUGGGAGAAUCACUUGAGCCCAGGAGGUUGGGGCUGCAGUGAGCUAUGGUCACACCAUGGCAUUCCAGCCUGGGCGACAGAGUGAGACCCUGUCUG